CAAUCAGUAGGAGCACGGAGAAGAAGAAAAGUAAGUGCGUUAACUGUUAGAUGCUUUAGCGGUGCAGUGGUUGUAGUUGUCUUGUUUUUGCCAAGAAGAGAAAUAAAGUUCGACAAGUUCUUCAUCUGCCUCCUCGUUGUUUGGCCGCCAGCAGAGCAGAGCUUGUUACCAGCAAACGAGCCGAAAUAGAGACCAGCCUGUUCUGGACCUACCAAGAUCAGACUCCAUAUUAAGAUGGAGGAUGGGAAUAACUUGUCUUCUUGUUAAUACAGACUUACUGAGGUCCAGAAGAUGGAAGACCUGGACUGGGACUGGGACUGGGACUGGGACUGGGACAGAGCAGAACCUUCAGGAUCCGUCUGUCCCUCUAUGAGGAGUGACCGGUCCAGAGAUAAACCUCCAUACUUCAAUAAUGAACCUGGACCCUCAGACAGGAAAGAUCAGAACCUCAGACUGAGAGCAGAACCUCCAGGAUCCGUCUGUCCUUCUAUGAGGAGUGACCGGUCCAGAAAAGAUCCUCUAAACUUCAAUACUGAACCAGAACCAUCAGACCCAGAAGGGAGGAAGAGGAGCAGCGUUGGUGAGGAGGAGCAGCCGUCCUGCUGUGCUUUAUGUCAGAAGGUUCUGAUGGAUCCAGUCUCUACCAGCUGUGGUCACUGGUUCUGCAGACAGUGCAUCAGGUUCUACUGGGACCAGUCUGGACCCUCCUCCUGCCCCCAGUGUGGAGAAAGACCCAGAACAGGAGCUGGACUGCUGACAGCCAAUCAGAGCAGCUGUGCUCCAGCAGAUGUUGUUCUGCAGCAGGUUCUAAUGGAACAUAAGAUCAGUCUGAUGAGGAGAUGUGAAUGUGUGACUGAAGGAAGUGAUGUAACAGGAAGUAAAACCCUCCUCAACAUGAUCUACACUGAUCUCUACAUCACAGAGGGACAGAGUGAAGAGGUUAAUACCCAACAUGAGGUGAAGCAGCUGGAGACAGAUUCCAAGAUCCAGAAGCUCCAUGACUCUCCUAUCAGGUGCCAUGACAUUUUUAAAACCUUCCCUGAUCAACAUGGAGCCAUCAGAGUGGUUCUGACUAACGGUGUCGCUGGUGUUGGAAAAACCUUCUCAGUUCAGAAGUUCACUCUGGACUGGGCAGAGGGCUUGGAGAACCAAGAUGUCAGUGUGGUGGUUCUGCUUUCGUUCAGGGAGCUGAACUUGAUCAGAGAUGAGCAGCACAGUCUUCUCACGCUGCUCCAUGUUUUCCAUCCAACCCUCCAGAAGCUCCCAGCAGAGCAACUGGCUGUCUGCAAACUUCUCUUCAUCUUUGAUGGCCUGGAUGAAAGCAGACUUUCACUGGACUUCAACAACAGUCAGCUGGUUUCUGAUGUCACACAGAAGUCAUCAGUCAACGUUCUCCUGACAAACCUCAUCAAGGGGAACCUGCUUCCCUCGGCUCUCAUCUGGAUAACAUCCCGACCUGCAGCGGCCAGUCAGAUCCCUCCUUCAUGUGUUUCCAGGGUAACAGAAGUACGAGGCUUCACUGACGCCCAGAAGGAGGAGUACUUCAAGAGGAGGCUCAGAGAUGAAGAGCUGUCCAGCAGAAUCAUCUCCCAUAUUAAGACCUCCAGGAGCCUCCACAUCAUGUGUGGAAUCCCAGUCUUUUGCUGGAUCACUGCUACAGUUCUGGAGAACAUGUUGACCUCAGAGCAGAGAGGAGAGAUGCCCAAGACCAUGACUGACAUGUACUCACACUUCCUGCUGGUCCAGACAAAGAGGAAGAAGAACAAGUACUAUGGAGGACAUGACACAAGUCCACAGGAGCUGAUGGAGGCUGACAGGGAAGUUUUUCUGAAGCUGGGGAGGCUGGCGUUUGAACAUCUGGAGAAAGGAAACAUCAUGUUGUACCAAGAAGACCUGGAGCAGUGUGGUCUGGAUGUCACAGAGGCCUCAGUGUACUCAGGAGUUUGUACAGAGAUCUUCAAAAGAGAGAGUGUGAUCUUCCAGAAAUCAGUCUACUGCUUUGUUCAUCUGAGCAUUCAGGAGUUUCUGGCUGCAAUCUACAUGUUCCACUGUUUUACCACAAGGAAUACAGAGGUAAUGAAGAAGUUCCUGGAAGAAAAAUACAGUGAAACAUCUCUGGAGGAUUUCAUAAAAAAAGUCCUAGAGAAAUCCUUCUUCAGUAAAAAUGGCCACCUGGACCUGUUUGUUCGUUUCCUUCAUGGCCUCACUCUGGAGUCCAACCAGAGACUGUUAGGAGGCCUUCUGGGUCAGACAGAGAACAGUCCAGGAACCAUCCAGAAAAUCAUCAGCAAUCUGAAGAAGAUGAGCACUGAUAGAAUCUCUCCUGACAGAAUCAUCAACAUCUUCCACUGCCUGGUGGAGAUGAACGACCUCUCAGUUUUUCAGGAGAUCCAACAGUUCCUGAAAUCAGGGAAGAAGCUCUCAGAGAUCCAGUGUUCAGCUCUGGCCUACAUGCUACAGAUGUCAGAGGUUCUGGAUGAGUUGGACCUGGAGAAGUACAACACAUCAGAAUCAGGACGACAGAGACUGGUUCCAGCUGUGAGGAACUGCAGAAAGGCUCGACUUGGUGGCUGUCGUCUCUCAAAGACUGAAUGUGAAGUUGUGGCUUCAGCUCUAAAGUCCAACCAACAUCUGACUGAACUGGAAAUAAAUCAGAUAUUCAUACAGGGAACCAGUACAAAAUCUUUACUGAAUCAUGUGUGUGAGAUCCUGGAGAGUUCAGUCAGCAAAGUGAAGAGUCUGAGAUUGAGGGGCUGCAGGUUAUCAGAGACCAGCUGUUCUUCUCUGGUCUCAGCUCUGAUGUCCAACCCCUCCCAUCUGACUGAACUGGACUUGAGUGACAACAGACUCCUGAAAGAUUCUGGAGUGAAGGAGCUCUGUGGUUUUCUACAGAAUCCUGAAUGCAGAGUACAACGAUUAGAAUUGAUCCACUGCAGUUUGUCAGAGAUCAGCUGUUCUUCUCUGGUCUCAGCUCUGAAGUCCAACCCCUCCCAUCUGACUGAACUGGACCUGAGCUGGAACGAAGACCUGAAAGAUUCUGGAGUGAAGGAGCUCUGUGGUUUUCUACAGAAUCCUGAAUGCAGAAUACAACGAUUAAUAUUGGAGUACUGCAGUUUGUCAGAGAUCAGCUGUUCUUCUCUGGUCUCAGCUCUGAAAUCCAAUCCCGCCCAUCUGACUGAGCUGGACCUCCACAACAACAAUCUUAAAGAUUCUGGAGUGAAGGAGCUCUGUGGUUUUCUACAGAAUCCUGAAUGCAGAAUACAACGAUUAAUAUUGAUCCACUGCAGUUUGUCAGAGGUCAGCUGUUCUUCUCUGGUCUCAGCUCUGAAGUCCAACCCCUCCCAUCUGACUGGAUUGGACCUGAGCUUCAAUGCCAUGAAAGAUUCUGGAGUGAAGGAGCUCUGUGGUUUUCUACAGAAUCCUGAAUGCAGAAUACAACGAUUAAUAUUGGAGAACUGCAGUUUAUCAGAGAUCAGCUGUUCUUCUCUGGUCUCAGCUCUGAAGUCCAACCAACAUCUGACUGAACUGGACCUGAGCAACAACAAUAUGAAAGAUUCUGGAGUGAAGAAGCUCUGUGGUUUUCUACAGAAUCCUGAAUGGAGAAUACAACGAUUAUCAUUGAGGUUCUGCACGAUGUCAGAGGUCAGCUGUUCUUCUCUGGUCUCAGCUCUGAAGUCCAACCCCUCCCAUCUGACUGAACUGGACUUGAGAGGAAACGACCUGAAAGAUUCUGGAGUGAAGGAGCUCUGUGGUUUUCUACAGAAUCCUGAAUGCAGAAUACAACGAUUAAUGUUGAGGAGCUGCAGUUUGUCAGAGAUCAGCUGUUCUUCUCUGGUCUCAGCUCUGAAGUCCAACCAACAUCUGACUGAACUGGACCUGAGAGGAAACAGAGACCUGAAAGAUUCAGAUGUUCAGCAGCUGAAGCUUUUUGUAAAGGAUGUUCAGUAAGUAAAUGUUUGCAGUGAUUCCAGCUGCUGUCAGCAUAUUGAACUAAACCAGUUCCCAUCAAAGCAAAGAUCCAGUGUUCCCAGUAAAGCUCUCUGAACAGGACUGAAGGCCCUGCUGCUCUUUCUCCUGGAUGUGCUGCGUCACUGACUGCUGCUGGAGAGAAGCUGGAAACUCACUGAUCUGAUCUCUGCAUCUUUCUUCUCUCUGCAGGUUUUGAUGAUUAACUUUAUAAAGAAGAGAAUCGUCUCUGUUUCCUGCUGAUCCUCAGAGGUUGAAGCUGCAGCAGUUUGAGUCUAAAGAGACUCUGACUGGAUCAUGAUGACCUUUGACCUGAAUGAUUUCUUCCUGUUUAUUUCCUCCUGUCUGUCAUUUUGUAUCUGAUAUUGUUUUUCUCUUUGGAUCGAUGAAGAUGAAAUUGUAACUCGGCUCCAUUUAGAGGCUUCAUGGAGUUUUGAUCUGAACUUGAUUCAGUUUUUAAAGUUUUUAAUUUUUCUCUGAUUCAUUUUCAUCCUGGAAGCAGAAAUAUGAAACAUAUUUCAGUUCAGCCGUUUCCAGGCUGCAUGUUUGCUUCAUUUGAAUUCAGUUUGAAAGGCCUUUAAUAGACCACUGCAGUUUUUAGGGUAUUAAAGAAACUCGGGUAUUUUAAUCAAGUCGAUUAGUUAUAACAUACUUUACUGAUGAAUUUUAAUAUAACUGAUAAUAACAUGUACAAUGUGAAUUAACUUUAAAUACAAUAUUUAAAAGAAAUACUUAUUUACAUUAUUAAUAUACAUUUUGUCUCUUCCCAGGUGGCUGCAAAUAAGAUACAUUUUUAAGCUCCUUUAUAAUUUAUCUUCUGUCUUUUGAUUGUCAUUAAGCUGCUUUUAUGCUGACAGUUAAAUGAUAAAUUGUCCCUUCAAAACAAAAGCAUCAGAACUCAAACAGGAAGUUAACUAUAAUUGAAACUAAUUAAGGAUCUUCUAAGAUAUUAGUAUAAAUAAUGUGCAUGUUGUUAACAUUUUGUCCACAUACUUCCCAGACACUACAAAUGUUAUUAUAUUAAUUCUUGAUCUGAUGUUCAUGUUUGUUAUGUUUACAUAAAAAGUUGUGGAUCAGAAAAUAGUAACAUGAAUUAAUCUGCUGUCAGAUUCACUAGUAUAUUAACUUCCACUGUUUAUAAGUGUAAAGUUGUUUAUUUGAACAAAGGACAAUGAUAAUUAUGGGUUUUUUAUUAUUAAUGGUUUAGAAAUGUAUGUUUGGGUAAUUACACAUUUAAUCGAGCCGCUAUCGUUUUAUCGUUUUUUUAUUGUGUAUGAUAAAAAUUCAAAUCCUCAUAAUCCUCCAUCAACAGAUGUUUGUUUAGAGUGAAAUAAACUCAAUUUAUCUACAGUAGCAUCAGUGAAUCUGUGAUCGAUUUUAUUGAUCUGCUGAAGAAAUCUGUUGAUGCACAUUCACCUAAAUUAUGUAAACCUGUAUAGACACAGCAGCACUUCCUGGUCUUUGUGAAACGGAUAAAGCCAGGAUGAACUGAUGGAGCUUUUCAAACCUGUUUUUAUCAAUGAUCCUGGGUUUCAUAAUCCUACUUUGGUGAAACAGAAACCAGGUUAGUUUAAGUUACUAACUAAAUGACAUGUUACUGUUGUGCUGCAAACGUAGCUUCACUUAUAAUAUAAUAUUAACACAAAGUUCAUGUGAUUCAGCUGAGAGAAAAAGAGAAAGAAUCAGAACAGAGGAAGAAAACAGGUUGAUUUAUUAUUAAGAGGAAAUGUCCCAACAGUUUAUGAUUGGAUCAUUUUUUGUUUUUAAUUGAGCUGAUUACUUACUAUAAUACCUACCAUUAACUAAAAGUCUUUAAUUGAAGUCUUGCUUUUUAUAAAUCCAUAACUUGGUCAUUAGUAAAACAAAAAGUCUAACUGGGAAAAAACAAGGAAAUUGAUUAAUUGUAAAUCAAUACCAAUAUUUUUAGUUGUGGUUUGAUACAUCAUUUGUUUUUACAAUAAACAUAUUAAUUCAACUCA